AACGCAAAUUCAGUUCAUCAACGACACUCGUGCGAGGCGGAUGCGAAGCGCGCGCAAUACUCUGCCUAGUGCGAUAAACAAAAGUAGACAGGAGAACAAUUUGAUUAAACAACAACAAAAUGCUAGCCGUAUAAAUAAAUGUGCAGAGCCCAACAAAAGUCAAAAAUCAUAAAACAAAUUAUAUAUAAACAACAAAUCACAGACACAAUUUUGUAUUUGUAGACGCCGCCUUAGCGGCAGUGCAGCAGACGCCAGCGUCAGCGUCGACGGCGAUCUUAACGUAUUUCUCAAAACUCAACAAAAAGUUGCCGUAAGUUCAAAUAAUAAUCUUUAGUUUUUUUUUACAUACUUUCAUUGCCUUGCAAGGUGACAAGCACUGUAACAUGGCAGCUAAACUGCCUGUCAAAAUUUACCAGCAGCUUUAAUAAUAGGUUUUUUAUUCAUUUGACAAAGUUUCCACCUUGAUAUGCAUUGCAUAUGGCUGAAUUUGUCAGCACUUAACAGUGUUUCUAAAUAGCAAACAGAUGGCAUAACAGUGUUGAACAGUGUUGUGUCAUAUUUAAAUUGUUUGUGAGUUUGAUAAAAACAGUGUUGAAAAUUUCUAUUAUAAGGUUCGAACACCUUUUAUACCCUGCACAUAUGUAAUGUGCACAAAGGGUUGUAAACAACUUUAGUUUAUUCAACAAAAUGUUAUUAAAAAGUUAUAUUAGCACCUAUAAAAUUAAUGCAGCAAGUAUAUAUAGAUGAGUUGAUCAUUGUCUUUAUUGACAAGUUUUUUUAAACAUAUCUCGAGGAUUUUUAGAGCCUGACGCAAAAAAUUUCAUAUGCAGUAAUAAAUAUCAUCCCACAUUGCGCUCGCUAUCGGCAAAAAUAUGUGUCAUAAGAGUGCAGCCUUUGGUAUGAACACAUUUUUGUAUGUCAUAUUUUAACCCUUAAAAUAACAUAAGGAUCGGACGACAAACAGCCGAAUCAGGAAUCUAGAGUGCUUCAGAUGAGCUUAGGAUAUCUGCCAGUCGGGCAAUCUUAGCUAGAAUAUUCUUUUGUUUUUUUUUUUUUUUUUUUGUGUUUUUAUUAUUAUUUUAUUACAGUUGCUUAAGUAUUUGGCUUAUGUAUAUUUUAUAUUUUAUGCUGAUUCGCUUUGAACAAGACUUCACGCACAACCGCACACACGCACACAAACACGCACCACUAAACGUUUGACUCUGAGUGCGUGUGUGCGUGUGUGUAAAGUUGGCAUAGUUUUUGAGGUUUUGCUUGAAUGUAUGCAGCACACUUGUGGCUCAUGUUGUAUUAAUAUAAUCACUUUGGGGAUUUUGUGGCUAAACAACAACGAGAACAGCAGCAACAACAACAACAACAACAAUUGUCUCAGUGCUACGAAACACCACUCACAUGUUAAACAGAUAUUAAACAAGUAAGAAGUUCUAGUCGGGAGCUCCCGACUAGCGAAUACCCUGAACCCUCUUAUUCCAACAUCAAAUGCAAUUCGCGCUACGCGCUCGUUUAAACUAAAAAAGAUAAAUUUAAAAAAAAAAGUUCCCUUGGCAGUAGAGGUUGCUAUAGCUUGAACACUUGCCACUGCUUCUACUCAACAGUCACAACAAUAAGUCUUAUUGAGCAAAAAAAAAAAAA